GACGUGAAUAAUGAAGACACUUGAUCCGGUUCCGCUGCUUCCUGCUCGGGCCCUCUUGUAAAACCUUCACAGCCUCCUCCACUUCCAACACCGGACUGUGAGCCACACACGACGCAUGAGCCCCUCGAAGUCCACACCCUGAUGAGCUCAAGGACGCGUGAAUCCCCUCGGAGGAUAAUCAGGCUUUUGUCCGCCGGAUCACAAGAAAGUGGCCGAGGAUCCUCCGCCGGCGGUUUAAUGACACACACGGGGACAGGAAACACUGGCGCACACAGGUCAGAGCCUCCGCCGCUCGGGCUCCCUCAGUCCGACGUUAGAGCAACAGAAAAAACAACCACGCAGGCGACGUAUGCGAACACCGCCUCGCGAUGUGGCACCGCUCGCAUAUCUGUACACGAGGCCUCGGCCCUGUCGUCGCUCGCCGCCGGGUUCCGCUGUCGAACGAACAAAGGCCUCGUAAUCUCAUUAAACAGCAGAAUCAUACCGGGCCCAUCGCGUCCGGGCCGCUCACUGCAUAGUUGAUCGCUUUUUAAUAGUCGAACGCGGCCCCCCUGCGCACCAAACAAAGGUUGUUGGGGUGGUGUUUUUUUUAAAACGGUCCGCAGGAAUGUUGGCCGAGCCUUCUGGUUCCCCACCUCCGACACAUCUAUCGAAUAUCUUUAGUGUACUUGUUUUGCUUUUUUUUUUUUUUUUUUUUUUAGCUAUGGCCUCCGUCUUCGUUAGUAUUCACUUUACACCCGAUUCAACCGUGUCGUCGCCUCCUCAGCCCUUCGCCGACAACAUAUUUUUUUCUUCUUUCCACUUCCUUAUCUCGGUUAAAUCGUCGUAAAUUAGCUCCGACGUCACCUCACCAUUUUCUACCGCCGCUCAGGUGCAGACAAAACGCUCCGUCGUCGCCGCCUAUUCCCGAACAAGGACGGUCGAAGCUAAUGGAGCCUGUGGUCAUUAUUAUUUAUUAAAUAUAUAUAUAUAUAUAAAGCGGCCAUGUUUAUGUAUUCAAGUGAUAAAAAAUUUACAAAAAUACACCCUGCUAAUCUUAAAGGGGACGUUCGCCUUUUCUGUCCUUGUUGGGGCUAGCUGUCAUCAGCCAUCUUGUAAAUCCUCAUUUAAGAAGAAGAAGAAGAAGAAAAAAAGGAGAUAUCCGCCGAGGAGAGGCUGCUUUCUCGGCUUCUCUUCUCGAUAGCUGACCUACGCAGGCACGUCAACGCAGUGAACAAUAAAAACACGUCUUUUUAAAAAUCAAAAAAAUAAAACACGGCGUCGUAGAUCCAAAGCAGCGGGCUUGACUUGACGUUAUUUUCUUGUCUUUUUUGUUUGUGUUGCGGCCUGAUCCGGUCGGUGUGUCCCGGUGAGAGUCGACUCCCGUGGCUCAUAAAAAUCCAACACGGUUGUGAAUAAUAAUUCGUGUUCUCUCUCUCUCUCUCUCUCCCCCCCACCUCCUUUCUUUCUCUGUCUCUGUCGGUCAGGCUCUGGAGAGAGGAGGAAUGCAGGCGAGCUGGACUGGACCGCUCACCACAGGCAAGACGGGCAGCGUCACACGGCACAUCCGGUUCUCGUUUUUCAAAAUAAAACACCGUUUUACACAUAUCUUUAGGUUAGGAAAUAGUGUGGCCAUCACGGGCGUAGCACUGGGGGGGGGGGGCAGACUACCCAGGGCCAAGGGUAGUGUUUUUUAAGCAAUUAGUGUCAUAACAUAAAUAAAAAAAAUUGCUGAAUACAUUGGUCGAGAGACUGAACUAUGUAUCUCAAAAACAUAGUGGAGUUUCUCUGAGGUUCUCCCUCUCACACCUAACAAAAGGCGCAAAAUGGUGUAGUGCGCCCAUCACGACUCAGCUCGAUAAUCUGUUAGCUAAUCUACUCACUGAUGACUGGGUCCAAGAAGAGAGACGAGAAAACAAACCAAGGUAAAACAUCUGUAAAUUAAUUUUCAAAAGAAAUUAAUGAACAGUCAGCUAGCAGCUUUCAAAAGAAAGGUGGCUAGCUAUUAGCAAACUCCUACUACGACAGCUAGCUAGCAGCUACCUAGCUGAGAUCAACACAGCUGCUAGUGCUAGUUAGCUUACUGUAACUUUUACCACCUGAAUGCAGUAAAAGUGAGCUAGCUAGCUGUUAGCAAACUCCUACUACGACAGCUAGCUAGCAGCUACCUAGCUGAGAUCGACACAGCUGCUAGUGCUAGUUAGCUUACUGUAACUUUUACCACCUGAAUACAGUAAAAGUGAGCUAGCUAGCUGUUAGCAAACUCCUACUACGACAGCUAGCUAGCAGCUACCUAGCUGAGAUCGACACAGCUGCUAGUGCUAGUUAGCUUACUGUAACUUUUACCACCUGAAUACAGUAAAAGUGAGCUAGCUAGUUACGAUUAGAACACAGUAUCAUAAAUGAAUCAGCAUCAUAGCUGCUGGGGCCCCACAGAAACUGCUCAUGUAUAGGGCCUAGAAUUUGGUGCUACACCCCUGAGUAUGGCCAUUACAGUGUAUGAAAUAAGCUGGAGUGUCAUGGUGAGGGGGAUAUUUGAAGGAAACACCCAGGGCCUUAACAUGCAUGGAGGGAUUAUGAAAAAGUGUGUCUUUUUGUUGUGCCUUUGUGGUUGUUUUGUCCUGGUGGUUUUGAGUCCACUCGUGGUUGUGAGUCCAUGUGACGUUGUGAGUCUCUCUUGUCAUUUGGAGUCCUUGUGCUCAGUUUGUGCAUCUUUUAAAUCCGGGGCAUUUCGGUCGUUUUGUGUCAAUGUGGUCUUUUUGUGUCGUUGUGGUAGUUUGCAGUCGUUGUGGUUGUGUUGGCUCUCUGGUCGCUCUGUUGUGUCACUGAGGUCGUGUUGAGUCUCUGCGGUUGUCUUGUGUCUCUGUUGCCGUUGUGCGGAUGUGACAAUGGAUACAUAAAAAGCAGAAGGUGGUCCACUGAGGUUGCAUAUGUACGAAACCCCUGAUAUUGGUGUGCAGCACCACUGGUUACGAGUCCUCCGUCAAAACAUAGGCUACUUUGAAUUGCCAGAGGGAAAAGCACUUAUGAUGUAGAGUGAUAUAGUAUCAGUUAUGUAAUGUUACUGGGAGGCAGUUUGGUGCUGGGAAUGAUGAGGAGACCAAAACCAUGAGCCAGAUGAGGCAGAAGAAUAACUGUUUGGACUUUGUUAAUAAAUAACUUUCAGUACAACAAUAGGAUAUAAACUCCUUUCACUUGUAAUAUUAUACAAACUCAUACUAAUCAAUGCAGAUUCAAGGAGAAUUUAGAGAUUUCCUACUGGUUGGUUCGAGUGUGCUCUGCAUACUUUGUAGGAAAACAAUGGCUUUUGACUCAGAUAUGACCCUCCAUGUCAACAUACUUUCAAAAAAAAUGCCAUGAUUGUUUUUUUUUUUUAAUUGGAAGCUUUAUUUUGAAGCUUGACGCGCAGAGCUUCCUGUAUAAUUCAGACUGUCUCCGUCGGACCUGACGCACUUUUCUCGGCAACAUCACCCCCCUCCCCCAUCUCCUCCUCCUACUCCCCCCCCCCCCUCCUGCCGGAUCAACGCUAUGGCCGUCACGUGACCUGUCACACAACUGAUGUGUGUCACGUUUUAACCGGGAGGAGCUGAGGGAUGAACCUGGGAGGAAGGGCCGGGAUUCAUACUUAAAGGGCUUACUGCAUCUGUUAAUGGCCCGGGCCGCUCAUCAUGUUCCUGUGGGACAACACACAGAGUGUGUGUGUGUGUGUGUGUGUGUGUGUGUGUGUGUGUGUGUGUGUGUGUUUUGCAGGAAAAUAUAACUGUAAUAAUCCUGUCAUAUUCCCUCUGACGUUAAAGGAGCAAUCUGUAGACAUAAGCCUGCAGUAUAUUAAUACUGGUCAGGGAUUGGAUUUAUCACUUUUAUGAUCAAAACAGUUACUAACGAGAUAAAAGGAAGCGAGCUAGAAAUAAAUAAGAGCUUCCCGGAAUCCCGAAUAAAUAAACAUACAUUACCACAAAAUGUACUUUAAGUGUGAAAAACUAAGUUAAAUAAAGUGCUCAUUAUAAAGACGUUGCUUAAAUUAUUAGUUGACCAACAGGAAAAUUAUUUAAUAAAACACAAUAAAAUAGUUAGAUAGAUAUAGACAUUUGCCCCAUUGCCGAUGGUGCUUUUUCGUCUAUUUUUUUAAACUCUAAAUUGAACCAUAAUUUACUAAAUGAAUAUCAUGUGGUAUUAAAUUAGACUUGAAACUAGAGAUUGAUCUGUAAAGUCCCCAGGAAAAUGUUUACAGGAAGUGAGAGUCUUUCACAAAAAGGCUUCUGGAGAAACUGACUUAUUUUUGCAUCCCUUUGCCGCGCCCUCUGCUGGUCAUUCCAGAAGAUACAGGCUUUAGGCACUUCCGCAUUGGCUUCACGUUCCGGACACAGUAGGUUUUUUUUCUUUUUUCUUCUCAUAUCUUUAUUGUGUACCAACCAAAACAGCCUGAUACAAUCUUUUUUAACUUAUAAAUGAAGAAUAAAACGACUGAGAAUUUCAAAUAAUUGAAUUAAAUAUAUUAUAUCGUAUAUAUAGUUAAAAUUAUACAAUAAAAUAAAAUAGAGGUCUGAUCAGGAAUGGAAAAGUGCAAGUUCUCAUUGACAAUUGACAAAGGCUUGUUUGGAUUUUUGCACUUUUGAAAGUUGUUUUUUUUAAUAAAACAGUUUUAAAUAAAUAAAUAAAUAAAGGUUUAGAGCCAGUAAAUCCACAUCUGUGGUCUAUUUAUCUAUAUCUCCAUCAAAUUCACAGGCACCCGCUCAUAUGUUGAACCUACAGUAAUGCAACUCUUCUGUCGACCAUAGAAUAUGACCCCUAGUUUCAUACAUCGAGACUAAAACUUACAGUAUUGUUGUCUUUCGAUUUUUAUUCAUUUUUCACAGGUACAGGAAGCCCCGCUUGCGCAGGGCAUCAAAAAAUUGGGUAAAACUCUUAUUGUUCCUCUCCACGGAAAUCUUUAGUAAAAGGCGAAAGAUUUAUACGAUCUGAAGAGAAACAAGAGUGAUCUGACUUCAUUCUGAAGUAUCGAGUUAAAUGAAGGACGACGGCACAACUUUAGGUGCCGGUUUACAAAGUCACUCCACCACAAUUAGUACGACUUGUGUGAUAUAACAUUAAAAUACCGUGUUGUUGUGAACUCUGACGACUUUUGAUGCGAAAAUCGUGCUAUUAUUUUCGGUUUUAGUUCCUUUAUUUUGCGGCGCAGUGCAUGCUGGGAGUUGGGUUUUCUCUCGAAGCACGUUUUUGUAAAGUUGCCUCGCUGUCGUAUCGUAAAAUGUAACGGUGGAAUGAACUCUACGUUAAGAGGCGCUGCUGCUUCGACUGACGGUUUUAUUUCCUGUUGUAUUAAUGUCCAACAGUUUAAAUAAAUACUGUUAACGUUCCAAUGUCUCCGCCCCCUCACACACACACGUCUUCUAAGUCCUGCUGCAACAUGCAGAACCACGCCCCAUGUGGUGAUGAUGGUGACUGCAGAUUCCACACAUGAUUAUCACUGGUUAGAAUAAACUAAGAAAAAAUAAUAGUUAAAAAAACCAAAAACAUAUUGUGGUGUCGGGGCCACGUCCUGAAUUUAUGAUAAAUGAAUAAAUGAAUAUUCUCCAUUACAAGUCAAAGCCCUGCAUUGACAGUGUAAGUAAAGAUAAAGUAUAUAAGUUUAAGUACUUCAAAAUUACCUUUGAUACUAUAUAUGAUGUCAUUACAUACUCACAGUUUUUUAUUACUGUAGUUAUUUGAUACGUUUAUAACUAUUUUAUAUUCGACUGCACAAAUAUAUAUAUAUAUAUAUAUAUAUAUAUAUAUACACACACAUAUAUAUACAUAUAUUUUGUGUAUUAGAAAGAGCUAAAAUACACAAGGGUCAAUGGCAGUGGUCACUCCAUAGUGGACCAAAAGCAGAAAGGCACACGUAAAAAAUGUUUCAAUCGGUAAAUAAACAAGUCACAACAAUAUUUUUUUGUAAUAUUUCGAUUUGUUUUAACUGAAAAUCCACAUCUUCGGUUGAUUCUAUUAUUUUAUGUCCAUUCUAAGUUGUAUUCACUUGUACCCCAUCAUAAAUCUAAAUCCCCCCCACUGAUAUUUCUAUUGGGGAUUUCUAUCCGUGCUUUCACCGUUAGGGCCCCUCGUCUUUGGAACUACCUGCCUGAUGAGGUAAGGCUCUCAGACUCUGAAAAGAACUUAAAGCAGAUGUUUGAAUUAAAUAUUUAAAUUUAAUUUUUUUGUUGUUUGUUUAAUAUGCAAGGAAAAUGUGGCAAACCAACGUAAGCCUGGCUGAGUGAGUUAGGUUGUGACCCUUACAAUAUUACAGAGAAACCAGAUUUAGUUGUAGGUGAGAGAAGAGAAAUGGGGGAGAGAGGAGAGGUGAGUGGAAAAGGAGGGUAAGGAAUAAAGAGGGGGUGAGAGGAGAGAGAGACCAGGAACAGAUGUGUCACUGUCGUCUUUAACAAGAAUGACACAAUGUCAGACUGAUUCUUAUGAUGCCAAUAAUGCUACUAAAACUUAUAGAUGUAAUGAUGUUGUCAAUGAUAAUGAUGGCACCGGUUAAUAUUAGCAUUAAGUAUUAUAUCAAAUAGAAUUGUUUUUUUAAGAAUACAUGAGGAAACUGGAGAACCCGGCGUAAACCCUCACAUCAUCACAACAUAAAUUAUCUCAAGGUAGAUCUGGAGUCAGAGAUGCGUUCAGAAAGAGUACAGAGAGAGAGAGAGAGAGAGAGAGGGAGGGAGAGAGAGAGAGAGAGAGAGAGAGAGAGAGAGAGAGGAAUAAUACAAACUACGGAGAGAGAAAACCAAGUUAGUUAGAUGUGUUAGUGACAGAAAGGGAAAUGUUGUAACAGUGUCAGCUGUUGUGUCAAAGACCCUGAAAGAGUCGGAUUCUGUUCCAGGUUAAAGUCUGUUGCUUUUUGUGGAAUCUCCUCCUGCACCUCGGUCACCAUGGGUUUUGGAGCCGGGGGAACAUUCGUGGGGGACUGCAGCUUGUCAAGAUCACGCAAAAGUUUCCCAAGAGUCGAAACAGGCUUGAAGAUUUCCGCUACGACGUUCAUCCCUAGCACACCAUAUUGGGUGCUACAACAGUCCUCGUCCUCAACUAUCAACACUGCCCUCCCCAUGAAUUCAAAGUCUCCAUUUUGAAAAUCUAGCACUACAUACCCUUGAGUUGGGGUUUUGAGCCCAUUGGCUGCUUUAACUUUACGAAAGGGUAUUUCAGUUUUGUCUCUCAUUUGAAUAUCCUUAAAGCUUUUUCGGAAAAGGGAGUGAUUAAGAAGAGUUACUGGAGAACCUGUAUCCAGCAUAAACGGGAUUUUAACCCCAUUUACCACCAUUUCCACCAUUGUAUAGGGACCUACAAAAGAGGGCUUACUAGGGACAUUCUUUACAUCAGCGGUCAGUCUUCCUGCAGUGGCUGGGGCCGUUGAACACUUUGGCUUCUUCCAUCUCUGUGGUUUCCUCAGUCCCAGAAAGUGUCGGAUCCUCUUCCAGGUUAAAUCCUUUUGCUUUGUGGGGAUCUCCUCAGGGACCUCCUUCUGCAUGGGUUUGGGAUCAGGGGAGGCAUGUGUGUGGAUCUCCUCAGGUUCCUCAGUCUCCAUGGGUUUGGGAUCAGGGAGGGCAUUCGUAAGGGACUGCAGAUUGUCAAGCUCACACUCAAGGUUGUCAACACUAGAAACAGAUUUCCAGAUUUCUAAUAUGACAUUCAUCCCUAGCAAACCAUAACGGGUGCCAAAGCAGUCAUUCUUAACUAUCAACACUCCUUUCCCCAUAAUUUCAAUGUCCCCAGCCUGAAAAUCUAGCACCACAUACCCUUGGUAUGGGACUGUGAGCCCAUUGGCUGCUUUAAUUUUGAGCCAGGGUAUUUCAGUUCUGUCUCUCAUUUGAAUAUCCUUAAAGCUUUUACGGAAAAGGGAGUGGCUAAGAAGAGUUACUUUGGCACCUGUAUCCAGUAUAAAUGGGAUUUUAACCCCAUUUACCACCAUUUCCAGGCGUGGACAGUUGCCUAAAAAGGAGUGCCCAUCAGGCACAUCUUGCACGUUACUGGUCAGUCGCCCUUCAGUUGCCGGGGAGGUCGGUAUCCCACCAUGUUGGCACGUCAUCGUAGGCAGGUUGUUAACCCGCUGCUUCAUGGUGAGCCUAUCAGCUUCAUACCUUUGGCUGUCCUCUUGGUAUGAGGUGCUGCUGGGUGCAGGGUCCUUUGACUUCUCCCAUCUCUGUGGUCUCCUUAAUCCCUGAAAGUGUUUGACUCUUUCCCAGGAUGAAUCCUUUUGCUUUGUGGGAAUCUCCUCAGACACUUCAUUCUGCAUAGGUUUGGGAUCAGGGGAACCAUUUGUGGUGAUCUCCCGCUUCUCAAGCUCACGCCGUAGGUGGUCCGGCCUCUGCCUCACUGUGAGGAUAUUGACUUCAUACCUUGGGCAGUCCUCUUGGUUAGACGUUCCAACUUUCUCCUGUUCUUUUUGGAGAAUCUGCUUUUCCCCCCUCUCCGCCUGAAACUCCUCCACCAUCUUUUGACCGACAGCGUCCUGUUUAACCCCUCAGGUUUUUUGUGACACACUGUCUGUUUUCACUGUCAAGUUCACUGAAUUUUGUCAGUUGUACACAAUGUAGUUUUAUAAACACAGCUCAUCAAAAGUCCUUCAUGCGGCUCAUCUGAACCUUUGUUCUCUUUACUGUUUUUCUUUAUUUUGGGAAUGGUGUAGAAUGUUUUGGUAGUAUCAGGAUUUAAGUAAUUUAGAUGUGUUAAGUUGUAAGUCGCUGAGCAGAUGAGAAGUUCCUUUUAUGCGUCCCACAAAAGGGUCGUUUGUCUUAUCAGAUCAAAAAUGUUUUCUUCCUCAUGAUGUUUUGUCAAAAGGUGGAAGGGUUUGAAUGAUUUUACUGGAGAGCUGCAGUCCCACAUACACAUGAGAGUUGAUGAUGUCACAAUGGUGGAUGGAAUCCUUUUGAAGUUGGCUUUGAUCUUAAAGAUUCCACUUUUUCUUCUCAUCUAAAUCACAGACUGACAUUUCAAAUGUAAACAUUCAAUUGUAAAACGUGAAAAGUUGUCACUCUCAACACUGAAAACAGGUUUAAAGGUUUAUUGAUCUCAAAUUGACGGACAGGCCAAACAGAACGGUUUCACACUGCAGUUGUUUGUUUUUUAUUAAUAUGAGCUGAAAAUCACAAAAUGCACAUUUUCUAGUAAAAGUUACGCUCCUCAUUGACAAAUUUACAAAAACCUGGAUUAAAAAUCAAGGAUUCACAAAAAAAAAA